CGAACGCGAAAGGGGCUUCGGCCCUGAGUAGAGUGGCAGACGGGUGAGUAACGCGUGGGUGAUCUACCCUUGAGCGGGGGAUAACGUUUCGAAAGGAACGCUAAUACCGCAUGACAUCCUGUCCUUGGACGGACGGAGAUCAAAGCUGGGGACCGCAAGGCCUGGCACUCGAGGAGGAGCCCGCGUCCGAUUAGCUAGUUGGUGGGGUAAUGGCCCACCAAGGCUCCGAUCGGUAGCCGGCCUGAGAGGGCGGACGGCCACACUGGGACUGAGACACGGCCCAGACUCCUACGGGAGGCAGCAGUGGGGAAUUGUUCGCAAUGGGCGCAAGCCUGACGACGCAACGCCGCGUGGAGGAUGAAGAUCUUCGGGUCGUAAACUCCUGUCGAAUGGGACGAAUGGCUCGGCCGUGAAUAACGGCUGGGAAUGACGGUACCGUGAGAGGAAGCCCCGGCUAACUCCGUGCCAGCAGCCGCGGUAAUACGGGGGGGGCAAGCGUUGUUCGGAAUUACUGGGCGUAAAGGGCUCGUAGGUGGCCCGCUAAGUUGGACGUGAAAUCCCUCGGCUCAACCGGGGAACUGCGUCCAAGACUGGCGGGCUUGAAUCCGGGAGAGGGACGUGGAAUUCCAGGCGUAGCGGUGAAAUGCGUAGAUAUCUGGAGGAACACCNGUGGCGAAGGCGGCGUCCUGGACCGGUAUUGACACUGAGGAGCGAAAGCCAGGGGAGCAAACGGGAUUAGAUACCCCGGUAGUCCUGGCCCUAA
rnacentral:rRNA from 1 species